AUUGAACGCUGGCGGCAUGCCUUACACAUGCAAGUCGAACGGCAGCACGGGGCAACCUGGUGGCGAGUGGCGAACGGGUGAGUAAUGCAUCGGAACGUGCCAUUGAGUGGGGGAUAACGUAGCGAAAGUAGCGCUAAUACCGCAUAUUCUGUGAGCAGGAAAGCAGGGGACCGCAAGGCCUUGCGCUCUUUGAGCGGCCGAUGUCAGAUUAGCUAGUUGGUGAGGUAACGGCUUACCAAGGCGACGAUCUGUAGCGGGUCUGAGAGGAUGAUCCGCCACACUGGAACUGAGACACGGUCCAGACUCCUACGGGAGGCAGCAGUGGGGAAUUUUGGACAAUGGGCGCAAGCCUGAUCCAGCCAUGCCGCGUGAGUGAAGAAGGCCUC
rnacentral:rRNA from 1 species